CCAACCAAAAAUAAUGUGUAGAAAACCCAAGUCUAUAACAAACCCACUCAAUUAUUGGCCCAAAUCAAAAGAAAUAAACAAGAAAAAAGGGAGCUAGUGGUAAAACAAUAGAGAAAAAAGAAAUGAAAUAUAUACUCCCACUCCAACUCUCACACGUAGACCCUCCACUUUAACAAUCAUCAAAUAGACGCUCCAACAAAAUAUUCCCAUCCCCAAAUUUCUCCUUUCUUCCCAAAAAUGGGACUCAAGCAUACACCUCCAGAAAGGAAAUUUCCGUCGACACGAAUUGAAUAGAAAUUAGAGCUCCGUCUCUCUCAUGCUCUCUCUCACCACAUCGAAAACGAGAUUUCCAAUUCACCGCUGCAGAUCGCCGUCGCACUGCCCCAAACGACCCCGAUUAGCCCCGUUUCCCCAUUAAAGAUUACAAACACAUACACAACAACUGAAAUUGCAUUCACGGGGGACACUACGUCAGACUUCAUUACUGAUGUAGACAAUGCUGAUGCUUUGAGGGCAAAGAUUCUCAUUAUGGAACAAUAGAUACAACGCCAAGAUAUUCAAAUCUGCAAGCUUUUGGUGGCAAAGUGAGAGACAAACAAGCAGAGUCUUGGUCUCAAAAAUAUAAUGAUGUGAACGGAAGGGUUCCCUUUGGAGAAUAUGCAGAACAUGAGAAUUCCACCUUGGCCACAAGAAGAAAUGGCUACUACAGCUCUGCCGACAAAGGGCUCCGAAGAGAAGUUUUUAAGGUUUUGUUUUCUCUUAAAUUAACUUUCUUACCUACUAAUUGUUUUUCUUUCUGUUCCUUUGGUGUGCUGAUGUAAUAAUAAUGUAUAUCACAUUAUUAUUAUUAUUACUUGGAGUAGUUAAUACAAUAUUCCAAAUAAUUUCUUUUU